rnacentral:rRNA from 1 species
GAUGAACGCUGGCGGCGUGCCUAAUACAUGCAAGUAGAACGCUGAAGGAGGAGCUUGCUCUUCUGGAUGAGUUGCGAACGGGUGAGUAACGCGUAGGUAACCUGCCUGGUAGCGGGGGAUAACUAUUGGAAACGAUAGCUAAUACCGCAUAACAGUAGAUGUUGCAUGAUAUCUGCUUGAAAGGGGCAAUUGCUCCACUACCAGAUGGACCUGCGUUGUAUUAGCUAGUUGGUGAGGUAACGGCUCACCAAGGCGACGAUACAUAGCCGACCUGAGAGGGUGAUCGGCCACACUGGGACUGAGACACGGCCCAGACUCCUACGGGAGGCAGCAGUAGGGAAUCUUCGGCAAUGGACGGAAGUCUGACCGAGCAACGCCGCGUGAGUGAAGAAGGUUUUCGGAUCGUAAAGCUCUGUUGUAAGAGAAGAACGAGUGUGAGAGUGGAAAGUUCGCACUGUGACGGUAUCUUACCAGAAAGGGACGGCUAACUACGUGCCAGCAGCCGCGGUAAUACGUAGGUCCCGAGCGUUAUCCGGAUUUAUUGGGCGUAAAGCGAGCGCAGGCGGUUAGAUAAGUCUGAAGUUAAAGGCUGUGGCUUAACCAUAGUACGCUUUGGAAACUGUUUAACUUGAGUGCAAGAGGGGAGAGUGGAAUUCCAUGUGUAGCGGUGAAAUGCGUAGAUAUAUGGAGGAACACCGGUGGCGAAAGCGGCUCUCUGGCUUGUAACUGACGCUGAGGCUCGAAAGCGUGGGGAGCAAACAGG